rfam:Bacillus sp. 2_A_57_CT2 genomic scaffold supercont1.4, whole genome shotgun sequence.
AAGGCUAUGUGUAACUGGCGAAACGCGGAUCACCGCGAGGGAGCACAUAGUGUCGAAGCCGUUCGCCUGGGCAGAGGUA